rnacentral:rRNA from 1 species
UAUGUUCUUUAAAUUUAAAAAAUUUGGCGGUAUUUUAGUCUUAUUAGAGGAACCUGUUUUUUAAUUGAUAAUCCACGAUUAAUUUUACUUAUUUUAAAUAAUUCAUAUAUCGCUGUCAUGAAUAUAUUUAAAAAUUUAUUUUCUUUAUUUAUUAUUAUAAUUUAUGUUAAGUCAAGAUGUGGUUAAUAAAUAAGUAUAUAAUGGGUUACAUUAAAUUUUAUUUUUGGAUUUUAAAUGAAAAUUAAAAUGAAAUUGGAUUUAAUAGUAAAUUUAUUUAUUUAAUUAAUAUGAAAAAAGAUCUAAAAUAUGUACAUAUUGCCCGUCAUUCUUAUUAAAAAUAAGACAAGUCGUAACAAAGUAAGUGUACUGGAAAGUGUAUUUAGAAAGAUAUUUAAUAUAAA